GACGAACGCUGGCGGCGUGCCUAACACAUGCAAGUGGAGCGACGAACCAGGCUUCGGCCUGGGGCAGAGCCGCGAACGGGUGAGUAACACGUGGGUAACCUGCCCUGAUGAUUGGGACAACCCGAGGAAACUCGGGCUAAUACCAAAUGUGCCCUCCGACCAUAAGGUCGCUGGGGAAAGGAAGCUUCGGCCUCCGCAUCGGGAUGGGCCCGCGGCCCAUUAGCUUGUUGGUGAGGAAUGGCUCACCAAGGCAACGAUGGGUAGCUGGUCUGAGAGGACGAUCAGCCACACUGGGACUGAGACACGGCCCAGACUCCUACGGGAGGCAGCAGUGGGGAAUCUUGCGCAAUGCGCGAAAGCGUGACGCAGCAACGCCGCGUGGGGGAAGAAGGCUCGG
rnacentral:rRNA from 1 species